GACGAAAUUUCUUCGGAUAUAAAAAGAGGGAUCCACCGUGUGAUACUUUACAUUCGUUCGGGCAGCUUCGAUUCCAAGCCUUUUCCCGCUCUCUUCAUUCCAUUUCGCAGAUUUUAAAAAUCGCCAUGCAAGAAUCCGAUCCCGUUUGUGGUUGCCAUCUCUCCUACUGCACUUACUGCAAUCCGCGAGCGCACUAAUUCCCGGAGCAAGAUUCGAUAUCACCUGGAUCGAUGAGCCUGAGAUGCGACAAGACGGCAGGGGAAAAUCCUUAAUUACGUAUUACUCUUAAAAUUCUUUUAAUCUAACAUUACGGUGAAAGCUAAAGAAUAAGAAAAUAUUGUCUCAAUGAUGCGGCCCUCAACACCACACGCAACAUUCAAUUCAACAUUCUAUUAACUUGUAUUACUUUGUAUAGUCAAAUGAAGCUGACACGCUCUCUUAUUAAGCAUAAUGGUUAUUCCCAAUUUCACUUGUGUGUCGUCUCUCAAUACAUUUGUUAAUCGAUAA